AAUCAACGCUGGCGGCGUGCCUAACACAUGCAAGUCGAACGCGAAAACCCCGAAAGGGGGUUAGUAGAGUGGCAAACGGGUGAGUAACACGUGGGUGACCUACCUUCGAGUGGGGGAUAACGUCCCGAAAGGGACGCUAAUACCGCAUAACAUCCUGCCUUUGAAGAGGUGGAGAUCAAAGCUGGGGACCGGCAAGGCCUAGCGCUCAAAGAGGGGCCCGCGCCUGAUUAGCUAGUUGGUGGGGUAANGGCUCACCAAGGCAACGAUCAGUAUCCGGCCUGAGAGGGCGGACGGACACACUGGGACUGAGACACGGCCCAGACUCCUACGGGAGGCAGCAGUGGGGAAUUGUUCGCAAUGGGCGCAAGCCUGACGACGCAACGCCGCGUGGAGGAUGAAGACC
rnacentral:rRNA from 1 species